AUUGAACGCUGGCGGCAGGCCUAACACAUGCAAGUCGAGCGAGCGGCGGACGGGUGAGUAAUGUCUGGGGAUCUGCCUGAUGGCGGGGGAUAACUACUGGAAACGGUAGCUAAUACCGCAUACUAUCGGAUGACCCCAGAUGGGAUUAGCUAUUAGGUGGGGUAACGGCGCACCUAGGCGACGAUCCCUAGCUGGUCUGCGAGGGUGAUCAGCCACACUGGGACUGAGACACGGCCCAGACUCCUACGGGAGGCAGCAGUGGGGAAUAUUGCACAAUGGGCGCAAGCCUGAUGCAGCAAUGCCGCGUGUAUGAAGAAGGCCUUAGGGUUUUAAAGUACUUUCAGCGGGGAGGCGUUACCCGCAGAAGAAGCACCGGCUAACUCCGUGCCAGCAGCCGCGGUAAUUC
rnacentral:rRNA from 1 species